rnacentral:rRNA from 1 species
CCUACGGGGGGCAGCAGUGGGGAAUAUUGGGCAAUGGAGGAAACUCUGACCCAGCAACGCCGCGUGAAGGAUGAAGGUUUUCGGAUUGUAAACUUCUGUCGCGAGGGAUGAAGAAUGACGGUACCUCGUAAGAAAGCCCCGGCAAACUACGUGCCAGCAGCCGCGGUAAUACGUAGGGGGCGAGCGUUGUCCGGAAUGACUGGGCGUAAAGGGAGUGUAGGCGGCAUAUUAAGUUAUGUGUGAAAGCCCGAGGCUCAACUUCGGAAUUGCCUCUGAUACUGUUCGGCUAGAGAGUAGUUGCGGUAGGCGGAAUGUAUGGUGUAGCGGUGAAAUGCUUAGAGAUCAUACAGAACACCGAUUGCGAAGGCAGCUUACCAAGCUACUUCUGACGUUGAGGCACGAAAGCGUGGGGAGCAAACAGGAUUAGAUACCCUGGUAGUC